GAGGGCUGUAGCUCAGUGCUAGAGCAGCUGCUUUGCAUGUAGAAGGCUCUAGCUUCAAUCCCUGGCAUCUUCA